rnacentral:rRNA from 1 species
CUACGGGGCGCAGCAGUGAGGAAUAUUGCACAAUGGGGGGAACCCUGAUGCAGCAACGCCGCGUGGAGGAUGACGCAUUUCGGUGUGUAAACUCCUUUUAUAUGUCAAGAAAAUGACGGUAGCAUAUGAAUAAGCGCCGGCUAACUCCGUGCCAGCAGCCGCGGUAAUACGGAGGGCGCAAGCGUUACUCGGAAUCACUGGGCGUAAAGGACGCGUAGGCGGGUUGAAAAGUCAGGUGUGAAAGCCUACAGCUUAACUGUAGAACUGCACUUGAAACUCUCAAUCUAGAGUAUGGGAGGGGCAGAUGGAAUUAGUGGUGUAGGGGUAAAAUCCGUAGAUAUCACUAGGAAUACCUAAAGCGAAGGCGAUCUGCUGGAACAUUACUGACGCUAAGGCGUGAAGGCGUGGGGAGCAAACAGGAUUAGAUACCCCCGUAGUC